AGGAGCCGAAUGAAAUCAAAGUUUCACGUUCGGUUUUGAAUUAGAGACGUUCAAAAUGAUGAAUCAACGUCGACUAUAAC
rfam:Rhizobium yanglingense strain CCBAT 01603 genomic scaffold C251, whole genome shotgun sequence.